CCACUCAAACCAUUUUGAAUUUAGCAUCCGUGUUUCAUUUCCUUUUGGCAAAUUAAGUACAGAAGGAAUUCUUUCAUCUAUGGUUCUGCUGUUUGCCCCCGAAUUUUGUUUGUACAUAUUCUAUAUUCAUGUACAACACACUGUGAUGGGACAAGUCGCUAGUCAGUUGUAAAAUAAGGAAUGUUAGCAGAACGUGGCACAUGAUGCUCAACGGAGGAAAAGUUGUUUGAUGUAUCCUUUGUUGUUAAGGUUGCAUUAGCUGAAAACAACAGCCAUUUACAUUUGCUCGUAGGAUGUUAAUUGCAUCUAAUAAAGCUGAAAUUGCUCUUCUUCGCCUCUUUGUGUCUAUAAUUAGUGAUUGUUAGAAUUUAAUUAUCAUAAUGUGUCUUAUUAGAUGAUUUUUUUUACUCUGUAAUUAGUGAUUGUUAGAAUCAAAUAAUCAUAUGAUGUGAGUAAGACACUAUCACUAGAUUGGUCUUAAUUUUUUCUUAAAUGGUCUUUAAAUUUAAUUAUUUAAUUAUUAUCCUCUAAGCAUGCAUUUAAAUUUAUUUAAACGUUGUUAAUAUAGUAAUACGCAUUGUUAUUCCAUCAAAUUUGGAAUAAAUAGUUAAAAUACUCGUACUGGAAAAAUAACAAAUUGGGAGAGGGAGUUAGCUUUGCCCUUGAUAACACCAACGCCGUUCCUCAUCUCCCUCCACAUAACACCAUCCUUCAGAAACCCAACUGGCCUGCUACCACCGAAACCCAUAGCCUUGCCUACUACCUACCUUUACCGAUUAUCUCGAACUGUGAUUCACCGGACUCCGGAGAAGAAAAGAAACCUCAAUGGCGAACAGUAACCUUCCUCGGAGAAUAAUCAAGGUUGGGAAGUAUUUGAUUUUUCUUUCACCGGAUCGAAUCUCAGUCUGCUGCUUUUUCCCUGGAAGGAUUUCUAGCUUUUGAUUCUGAUUUCAUUCCUGGGUUCGGAUUUUCUUUGUGUAGGAAACGCAGCGGCUGCUCAGUGAACCAGGUGUUCUUUCUUCAUUUUCUCCCUUUUCCCUUCUUUGUUGGAGCAAUCUGAUUGUGCCUGUAUGUAUUUUCUUUCUUCCGAUGACUGUCCGCAGUUAUGGUAAUGUAGUGAUCUCUUGGGUUAUAUAUCAGUCGAUCGAUUGGUAAACUAGAACCGUGAGAUAGAUGUCUAGGUCAGGAAAUGGGUUCGGGCGUGAUAUUGACCGAUCUACCAAAUUGGACUUACUUCGACCGUGCUUAAUUCCCUGUCAUAUAGUUCUUCUGAUUACGAGAAGCAGUAGCUGUGGACUAGUCAAUCGUGAGCACUCGUUUUGAAGUGGUGGAAAUGAUAGUGGUUGAUUUCUUCUAGGGUGCAUUAACACUCUUUUAUUUGAUCCUACUGUGCUUAAUUCGUUGUCAUAUAACUGUGUUAAGUCCUUGUCAUGUGGUUCGUUUGAUUAUGAGAAGCAGUACGUGAGCAAUGGUUUUCAAGUGGUGGAAAUGAUAGUGGUUACUUUCUAGGAUGCAUUAACACUCUUUAUUUGAUCUUACGCUUUGUAAACCCUUCUCACUUUGUAGCAUUAUAUGUUCUAGUGACAUGGAUUCUUGAUUUUCUGGUUACAGCCCCUGGAAUUAGUGCUUCCCCUUCUGAAGAAAACAUGCGAUACUUCAAUGUUAUGAUUCUUGGUCCAACACAAUCACCUUAUGAAGGUUGGUGUUUGAACCCUUGUCCCUGAAUACGAUCGUAUAUUAUUGACAGUUGGGUUUAUAAUUGAGAUUCUUCUUCGGAUACCUCUCUUGCAUUUCUGUUUUGAUAUUAGGUGGUGUUUUUAAGUUGGAAUUGUUCUUGCCUGAAGAAUACCCAAUGGCACCUCCCAAGGUACUUCAAAUGUUGUUUUGAGUGAAUUUCAUAAAUCCUGUACGUUUAAUAUGGGAUAAAAGCUCUAAUCAAAUACAUGUUUACUCAUCAAUGAAGCCCUUUGAUUUGUGCUUUCUCCCCACUUAGUUAUGGAUGAAAUGAAUUGGCUUUUUAGUUAUCUGAUAAGCUGUUUAUGAUCAUGAUGAAUUACCAGUUAGUCUAGCUAGGUUGUUUUGUCUUUCUAUAUCUGUUGCUGCAUUGUGACUGAGUCCCAUUAAUUCCGUGGAACUAUAAGCUUGCUUAUCUUCUAUCACAUAAAAUGGGAUUGUGUAGACUUUGUUUUUGCUUCUGAACUUUAGCUCGUCGAUUUUCAAAACUUCUUGUCUGUUAUUGUGAUUUAUAUCUGUAGUUUGGUUUUCGAACAUCUACGUCUUGUGUGUAUUUAUCAGUUUGUGUUUACAUGCAACAGGUUCGCUUCUUGACAAAAAUUUAUCACCCUAACAUUGACAAGGUGUGCCCUCUCAAUCAUCCCCCCCUCCACCCACUAUAUAUCCUAGUUUUUUAACUUAAUGGGAAAUACUUUUCUGCAGCUUGGAAGAAUUUGCCUUGAUAUUCUUAAAGAUAAAUGGAGCCCUGCACUCCAGAUCCGAACUGUUCUGCUAAGGUGACAUUUGGAUUCUACCAUUUAUUUAGUCUCUCAAUUGACUUUGUUUCCAAACAAGUGGAUGGUAUGAAUGGCACUGGAUAUUUAUUCCUAUGUUUGAAUUUUGUGAUCCUAACUGUUCUGCUAAGGUGACAUUUGGAUUCUACCAUUUAUUCAGUCUCUCAAUUGACUAUGUUUCCAAACAAGUGGAUGGUAUGAAUGGCACUGGAUAUUUAUUCCUAUGUUUGAAUUUUGUGAUCCGAACUGUUCUGCUAAGGUGACAUUUGGAUUCUACCAUUUAUUCAGUCUCUCAAUUGACUAUGUUUCCAAACAAGUGGAUGGUAUGAAUGGUACUGGAUACUUAUUCCUAUGUUUGAAUUUUGUGAUUCAGUAUCCAAGCUCUCUGUGACAUUUGGAUUCUACCAUUUAUUCAGUCUCUCAAUUGACUAUGUUUCCAAACAAGUGGAUGGUAUGAAUGGUACUGGAUACUUAUUCCUAUGUUUGAAUUUUGUGAUUCAGUAUCCAAGCUCUCUUGAGCGCACCAAAUCCUGAUGAUCCUCUGUCUGAGAACAUUGCAAAGCACUGGAAGUCAAAUGAAGCUGAAGCUGUUGAAACAGGUAAUUGCUAGUCAUUGCAUGUUUGCUGAAGCACAUCCUAUAUCGAGUUUGCGAAGAAAAUAGUUAGAUGAGUUGAUAUACCCCCUUUAAUAUCUGAAAGCGCAUAUUGUCAUACUAGAAUCUGGAAUGCCUACUGGAUGGUAUUUUUUGGAUAAAUCAAGAAUGCACAGAGGGAAAUGAAAAUCAUGUACCCAAUUGUACUUAUCUGACUGAAUCAAACCAAACAUUCACUUCAAAUUCUUUUGCAGCUAAAGAAUGGAGCCGCUUAUAUGCAAGUGGUGCAUGAGGAGGCAAGCUGGAGCGUGCAAAUGAUCUAUGUUGUUACAUUGGUUAAGUGAAUUUGAAAUGUAAUGUCUGUUGGUUCCUAAAUGGGAAAUAUGCUUCAAGGUAUGCUCUGAACACUAUCAGAUACAUGAAUCCUUAAAGAGUCUCGAGUCUUGAAUCCAACAGUACUCUCUUUUCAGUAUACUGGACAUGUAUCAUACAGCGUCAUUGGAAGCUUCCCUUUAAUUGACUUGCGAUAAUGACUAAUUGAAUUGUGAAUGCCUUCAGAGCGUGAGGAAAUUCUUACUUUUUACUUGUUAGACAUUCUUAGGCAGCUAUUAGUUUGUUAUCUUUAUUCGUGCCAUAACAGAAUACUUUCAACUACAUACCAAACAGAUGAGGGCUAAAUUACGUCUAGUCAACUAGAAAAAACUGUAACUGUAAGGUAUCAUCGUUCGACGACGAUCAGAGUGUACCCGGAAACCAAAUGGAAAAACAGGCUCCACUCUCCGUUGAACUGAAUCAUUAGCCCGAUUUUAAUUUUGGACUGCAUGAUUAGAGGAGGAAAUCUGAUGUGAUACUAGAUACAAACAUACACAUCUGAUUUAUCCUAUUUUGGAUUGCACUAGCCUUCUUGCGGGCCAACAAAAAAUAUUUUUCCAAGUUUUGAGGAUUGCAUGAUCCAUGCAUUUGUCGAUUUAUCCUCAUACUUGAAGUAAAUUAUCCUCAUUCUUUUGGUAAAUAAUCCUCACAGCUAGUAUGAAACGGCUGUCAUGGAAUGAACAAAGUAAAAAAUCAGAUAUUAUCAUGCUAUUUAAAUGGAUCAGUAUCACAACCCAAACUAACAUCCGCAUACAAAGUACAAAUUAUAAGAGAAAGUUCUGAAAAAAGUAACGCUUCCUUCAAUGUCAUAACUCAUAGUAAUUACUAAUUACCCACCUCAUACCUUCCCUUUCAAUACAAUCUUUCAUUCACAGUACUCCUCGCAUAUAAAACCCACAUUCAUCCUGCCAAUAUAUUCAGAUCAAGCAAAAAAGAAAACCAUGGCAGCGGAUCCAAAGCAAGGAGCUAUAGUGAAGACGGGCCACGGAGAAGUAAUGAAGAUGGUGGUAUUGCUCCUUGGAGAGUUCGAGCUCCCCGAAGGGCUGCUGCCGUUGGAAGCUGCAAUAGAGACAGGGUACAAUAAGGAAACUGGCUAUUUUUGGAUCGUGCGGAAAAAGGCAGUAACGCAUGAGUUCAAGAUAAUUAGCAAGCAGGUCAGUUACGACUCAGAGAUUACUGGCUACAUUGAGAAAAAGAAGGUGAAAACGCUAAAAGAUGUCAAGGCCAAGGGGGUUGUUAUUGUGGCCUCCGGUGAACGAGAUCAUUGCAGAUGAUCCCCCACCGAAAAGGGACCAUUGGUGGUAUUACCAAGACUUUCCCCGUCGAGGCAUUUGCCGCCAGCCAGUUGCUUAGUAUAAUGUUCACGUUCAUUUUGCUACUUGUUUGCCUACAUAUCUAAUUUACUGUUGUUCUCCAGCAUCUUGGUAUACUUAAAUUAGUAUCUUGUAGGCCAUGUUUCUUCUUUAAUUGUCCCGCUACUGGAAAUAAAAUGGAUGGUGUUUGACCAAAAAUUGGAUUUUUACCCUGACCACAUGGGUAUUUAAUAGUUAGCUGGGUUAAUAGUUAGCUUAGCAUAAUAGGGAAUUAAUGGUGGUUUGUUGAUAUUACCAAUUGCAAGCUACAAAGAGAACAUGGAUCAACUCACUUUAAUAUAAAUGGGUGAUAAUCCACAUGGCAGGGUGUAAUUAGAACAAAAAUAAUGAAUUCACAAGGUGAUGUGUUUACGUCUUAACAAAAAAAAAA
rnacentral:lncRNA from 1 species